rnacentral:rRNA from 1 species
AGAAUUUGAUUAUGGCUCAGGAUGAACGCUGGCGGCGUGCUUAACACAUGCAAGUCGAACGAAGCAUUUUACUUAGAUCCCUUCGGGGUGAAGAGUUUAAUGACUUAGUGGCGGACGGGUGAGUAACGCGUGGAUAACCUACCUGGUACUGGGGGAUAACAGUCGGAAACGACUGCUAAUACCGCAUAAGCCUACGGUGUCGCAUGACACAGCAGGAAAAACUCCGGCGGUACCAGAUGGAUCCGCGUCUGAUUAGCUAGUUGGAGGGGUAACGGCCCACCAAGGCAACGAUCAGUAGCCGGCUUGAGAGAGUGACCGGCCACAUUGGGACUGAGACACGGCCCAAACUCCUACGGGAGGCAGCAGUGGGGAAUAUUGCACAAUGGGGGAAACCCUGAUGCAGCAACGCCGCGUGAGUGAAGAGGUAUUUCGGUAUGUAAAGCUCUAUCAGCAGGGAAGAUUAUGACGGUACCUGACUAAGAAGCCCCGGCUAACUACGUGCCAGCCGCCGC